rnacentral:piRNA from 1 species
UAGAGCCUGUGAAAGUCCUUUGACAGACCC